CGGGGCCCAACACCAGGGGAAGCUGUAUCCUGGUGGUAAGGACUAGAGGUUAGAGGAGACCCCCGGCAUAAC
rfam:Dengue virus type 1 complete genome.